UCAGUUAAACAAAAGUUUUAGUGUAUGUACUUUUUCUUUUCUUCUGUUUGUAGGAUCCUGUUUACCAAUUGAUGUGCCAUAUGAAAGAGUUGACCUGCAAGAUGUUAUGUCACAAAAUGUGGCUCUAGGAAAUGUCAUGGAAUUUCUCCAGUCAAAGGAUACCAGGAUUAACCUGC